GUGUCAGCAGCCGCGGUAAGACGAACCGUCCAAACGUUAUUCGGAAUCACUGGGCUUACAGAGUUCGUAGGCGGUCUGGAAAGUUGGGUGUGAAAUCCCUCGGCUCAACCGAGGAACUGCGCUUGAAACUACCAGACUCGAGGGAGAUAGAGGAAAGCGGAACUGAUGGUGGAGCGGUGAAAUGCGUUGAUAUCAUCAGGAACACCGGUGGCGAAGGCGGCUUUCUGGGUCUUACCUGACGCUGAGGAACGAAAGCCAGGGGAGCGAACGGGAUUAGAAACCCCCGUAGUCC
rnacentral:rRNA from 1 species